rnacentral:rRNA from 1 species
CUUGCUCCUGGUGGCGAGUGGCGAACGGGUGAGUAAUAUAUCGGAACGUGCCCUAGAGUGGGGGAUAACUAGUCGAAAGAUUAGCUAAUACCGCAUACGAUCUACGGAUGAAAGUGGGGGAUCGCAAGACCUCAUGCUCGUGGAGCGGCCGAUAUCUGAUUAGCUAGUUGGUGAGGUAAAGGCUCACCAAGGCAUCGAUCAGUAGCUGGUCUGAGAGGACGACCAGCCACACUGGGACUGAGACACGGCCCAGACUCCUACGGGAGGCAGCAGUGGGGAAUUUUGGACAAUGGGGGCAACCCUGAUCCAGCAAUGCCGCGUGAGUGAAGAAGGCCUUCGGGUUGUAAAGCUCUUUUGUCAGGGAAGAAACGGUGAGGGCUAAUAUCCUUUGCUAAUGACGGUACCUGAAGAAUAAGCACCGGCUAACUACGUGCCAGCAGCCGCGGUAAUACGUAGGGUGCAAGCGUUAAUCGGAAUUACUGGGCGUAAAGCGUGCGCAGGCGGUUAUGCAAGACAGAUGUGAAAUCCCCGGGCUCAACCUGGGAAUUGCAUUUGUGACUGUAUGGCUAGAGUGUGUCAGAGGGGGGUAGAAUUCCACGUGUAGCAGUGAAAUGCGUAGAUAUGUGGAGGAAUACCGAUGGCGAAGGCAGCCCCCUGGGAUAACACUGACGCUCAUGCACGA